rnacentral:lncRNA from 1 species
UGAGUGAAGGGUUGAGGAGGAAUUUUGAAGGAUGAGGAGGUAAGGUCGAGUUAUGGGUCAGCUAUAGUGUUGAAGCUUUAGCAGGUGGUGGGAUCACAGAUGGGACCAAAAGAGCAUCUCUGUAGGAGACGUUAUGGCGAACACGUGUUCCACUAGUGGAGCGGAGAGAAUGGGUAUGGUGUAGGGUAUGUAGAGGAAAACGACUGGUAUGGGGAUGGGGAUGUGGGUUCAAGGGAGCGCCAGGGUGAGUAGAUGCUCUGGGAGGAGGAUGAGGGAGCCGCCGUAUUUUUUACAGAUUAAUAU